GACGAACGCUGGCGGCGUGCUUAACACAUGCAAGUCGAGCGGUAAGGCCCUUUUGGGGGUACACGAGCGGCGAACGGGUGAGUAACACGUGGGUGACCUGCCCUCAGCUCUGGGAUAAGCCUGGGAAACUGGGUCUAAUACUGGAUAUGACCUUUCCUCGCAUGGGGUUGGGUGGAAAGUUUUUCGGCUGGGGAUGGGCCCGCGGCCUAUCAGCUUGUUGGUGGGGUGAUGGCCUACCAAGGCGACGACGGGUAGCCGGCCUGAGAGGGCGACCGGCCACACUGGGACUGAGACACGGCCCAGACUCCUACAGGAGGCAGCAGCGGGGAAGUAUUGCGCAAUGGGCGGAAGCCUGACGCAGCGACGCCGCGUGGGGAUGACGGCCUCGGUU
rnacentral:rRNA from 1 species